CCUACGGGAGGCAGCAGUAAGGGAAUAUUGGUCAAUGGACGCAAGUCUGAACCAGCCAUGCCGCGUGAAGGAUUAAGGUCCUCUGGAUUGUAAACUUCUUUUAUCUGGGACGAAAAAAGGCGAUUCUUCGUCACUUGACGGUACCAGAUGAAUAAGCACCGGCUAACUCCGUGCCAGCAGCCGCGGUAAUACGGAGGGUGCAAGCGUUAUCCGGAUUCACUGGGUUUAAAGGGUGCGUAGGCGGGCAGGUAAGUCAGUGGUGAAAUCCCUAGAGCUUAAACUCUAGAACUGCCAUUGAUACUAUCUGUCUUGAAUAUUGUGGAGGUAAGCGGAAUAUGUCAUGUAGCGGUGAAAUGCUUAGAUAUGACAUAGAACACCUAUUGCGAAGGCAGCUUACUACGCAUAUAUUGACGCUGAGGCACGAAAGCGUGGGGAUCAAACAGGAUUAGAUACCCUGUAGUCAGCCUAACGA
rnacentral:rRNA from 1 species